rnacentral:rRNA from 1 species
GACGAACGCUGGCGGCGUGCCUAAUACAUGCAAGUCGAGCGGACAGAAGGGAGCUUGCUCCCGGAAGUUAGCGGCGGACGGGUGAGUAACACGUGGGCAACCUACCCUGUAGAUCGGGAUAACAUCGAGAAAUCGGUGCUAAUACCGGAUAAUCAUUUGAAGUGCAUGCUUCGAAUGUAAAAGAUGGCUCCGGCUAUCACUACGGGAUGGGCCCGCGGCGCAUUAGCUAGUUGGUAAGGUAAUGGCUUACCAAGGCAACGAUGCGUAGCCGACCUGAGAGGGUGAUCGGCAACACAGAGACUGAGACACGGCCCAGAAUCCUACGGGAGGCAGCAGUAGGGAAUCUUCCGCAAUGGACGAAAGUCUGACGGAGCAACGCCGCGUGAGUGAUGAAGGUUUUCGGAUCGUAAAGCUCUGUUGUUAGGGAAGAACAAGUGCCGUUUGAAUAAGGCGGCACCUUGACGGUACCUAACCAGAAAGCCACGGCUAACUACGUGCCAGCCGCCGCGGUAAAAC